UUUUUAAUGAAAUAAUAUUAAAUAAAGUCUGCUCCUUGUAAAAUAAAAAGCCGCAGAACAUUAACUGUGCUAAGGUAGCAUAAUCACUUGUCUUUUAAUUAAAGACUAGAAUGAACGGCUUAACAAUUAAUCAGCUAUCUAAGCUAUAUAACUUAAUUUUCAAUAAAAAUUAAAAUAUUUUUAUAAAGUUAAAAGACGACAAGACCCUGUCGAACUUAACUGCAGUUAAGCUGGGGAAGCUUAAUAAUAAUAAUCUUAUUACCUUUAAUUCGAUAAAUAACCUUUUUAGAAAUAAUCAAGUUACCGAAGGGAUAACAGCGUUAUAUUUUUUUUAAGCUCAUAUUAAUAAAACAAUAUACGACCUCGAUGUUGAAUUAAUUUUACUUCCCUGUGCAAGAAUAGAAAAAGUAGGUCUGUUCGACUUUUUAAAAAUUACA
rnacentral:rRNA from 1 species